GUGCCAGCAGCCGCGGUAAUACGUAGGGCGCAAGCGUUGUCCGGAAUUAUUGGGCGUAAAGAGCUCGUAGGCGGUCUGUUGCGUCGGAAGUGAAAUCCCGGGGCUUAACCCCGGGCUUGCUUUCGAUACGGGCAGACUAGAGUGUGGUAGGGGAGACUGGAAUUCCUGGUGUAGCGGUGAAAUGCGCAGAUAUCAGGAGGAACACCGGUGGCGAAGGCGGGUCUCUGGGCCACUACUGACGCUGAGGAGCGAAAGCGUGGGGAGCAAACAGGAUUAGAAACCCUCGUAGUCC
rnacentral:rRNA from 1 species